CAUGACUGCAGACGAGCGUGGACACAUGCGUGGACAUGACUGCAGACGAGCGUGGACACGAGCGUGGACAUGACUGCAGACGAGCGUGGACACGAGCGUGGACAUGACUUCAGACGAGCGUGGACACAAGCGUGGACAUGACUUCAGACGAGCGUGGACAUGACUUCAGACGAGCGUGGACACAAGCGUGGACAUGACUGGCGUCAGUACCUUGGU